UCCUGCUGCUGUUCGGACAUUGUGCAGCUUUCUCUCAGGUUGUUCCAGUAAAUGAAGAUGAGGAUGGACUCUGUCAGUGUCUUGACUAUCGUAAGGACAAGAUACCCGGGAAUUACAUAACACAAAUUGAUAUCUUUCCCAGGAAUAGAAGUUGCAGAAGAACAGAAAUCAUAGCACGGCUUAUUCCAAAAUACAACAGCUAUCUAAUCUGUGUGGAGAGGACGGCUCCUUGGCUAAAGAUAUUAAUCGAAGAUUUAUUAGCAAAUACAAAGUAAAGAAAAUAAGGACUUAAUUUGCUGAAAUGGUAUUAUACAUUGUGAAAUAUUCUUUUUGCUAC